CAAUUCAAGAGAAUCCAAAUUAGUUUGAGGCUUGCAGCGAAUCCAGGCACAAAUUUCUUCACCUAGUCUUUCAUCGGGAACCCCAACCACCUUGAUCCACACCACACAAUCAAAAAAUCUCUUCAAUUCAAGAGAAUCCAAAUUAGUUUGAGGCUUGCAGCGAAUCCAGGCACAAAUUUCUUCACCUAGUCUUUCAUCGGGAACCCCAACCACCUUGAUCCACACCACACAAUCAAAAGGUUUACUGCUUCCGGAUUGUGUUUUCAUAUGGUUUCCUUUAUCACUGAGUUGAAGACCGCCAAAAAAAAUGGUAAAGAACUUCCAACGCUAAAAUCACACAGACCAAACUCCAUCUGAUGACCGAUUAUUUGUAGCGAAUCCUCAAGUUCAAGACCAAUAAAUCUCGCGAACGUCACUCGAUUGCACUGGGCAUGGGAACCGGGAUCCCAUAAAGAUCUUUCAUUCGUUUCUUGCAAAUGGUAUACCAAAUGCUAGUUAAUGAAUUAAUGAAAGUAGUUCCAUGGCACAUGUACUUAAAGCCAGUACGUCUUAUCAGUCGUAAUUCGUUAUCAUGGAGGAUCGUUAGACUGGUGUGUCAUGUCAAGCAGCCCCAUCAAUUGGAAAAGCUGCUUGCAUGACAAAAUUUAACAAGGUCCUUUGUCAAGAGCAAUACAAUUUAGAGGCAAUCAUGCGUAAAGAGGUUUUGAAACAGUGGCCACUUUUUGUUCGAGUUUUUUCUCGUCACUCACACGUACUCGAGAAGUCCUUGAACAUCGGUAUGUUCAGUGUGAUCCUACAAUUGGCGUCGAAACGGAUAAUAUUCCCAACAUCUAAUCCAGACAUGGUAGUUGUUAUUUAUUUGCCAUGAUCCUGACCACCGAAAAGACGCCGCCGCUGCUCAAGAAAGAGGAAGUCAGUGUUGAGUCCACAAAUCGCACUUGCUUUGACAGCUUCCAAUCGUUAAACGUGUCUCCAUUGGGAAGAAACCACGAUCACGGUACCUACCUUACCCCCGGUUUUCGCCUUUUUCUCUUUUUUCUUUCUAUUCUUCUCUUUGUUGAAAAAAGAGGUAAAGGAAGAGAGAAUGGAUAAUCUGUAUAUUUGAAUAAAAUAAUCAACCGGUAUCAUUUCCUAUGAAUUUGGUUGAAGGUCACGAGAAACAUUACGUUAAACUGGCAUGCGGUGGUGUAGAGGUUGGGUGAGAAUUACACGUGUUUCAUCAUUAUCAAGCAGACCCAUCCCCAGCAACGUCUACCUAAAGAAGGAAAGGCCAGUUUGCAU